rnacentral:rRNA from 1 species
UGCCAGCCGCCGCGGUAAUACGGAGAGGGCAAGCGUUGUUCGGAUUUACUGGGCAUAAAGCGCACGUAGGCGGGUUGGAAAGUCGGUUGUGAAAUCCCGGGGCUCAACCCCGGAACUGCUUCCGAAACUUCCAGCCUGGAGGACGAGAGGGGAGAGUGGAACUUCUGGUGGAGCGGUGAAAUGCGUAGAUAUCAGAAGGAACACCGGUGGCGAAAGCGACUCCCUGGCUCGUUUCUGACGCUGAGGUGCGAAAGCUAGGGGAGCGAACGGGAUUAGAUA